rnacentral:tRNA from 1 species
GCGCCUGUGGCUCAAAGGAGUAGGGCGCUGGCCCCAUAUGCCAGAGGUGGUGGGUUCAAACCCACCCAGGCCA